UUUGGUGGCUUGACGCAGAGGUCACACCGGUUCUCAUUCCGAACACCGAAGUUAAGCUCUGUAGUGCCGAUGAUACUCGCAAGGGGAAAGUAGGUAGCCGCCAGAA
rnacentral:rRNA from 2 species